rnacentral:tRNA from 1 species
AAAGUCCUUCAGCUACCA